rnacentral:rRNA from 1 species
AUCGUAUCUAGGUUCUAACUUGGUACCGUAAUCCGGUACGAGGACAGUGUCAGGUGGGCAGUUUGACUGGGGCGGUCGCCUCCUAAAGAGUAACGGAGGCGCCCCAAGGUUCCCUCAGAAUGGUUGGAAAUCAUUCGAAGAGUGCAAAGGCAGAAGGGAGCUUGACUGCGAGACCUACAAGUCGAGCAGGGACGAAAGUCGGGCUUAGUGAUCCGGUGGUACCGCAUGGAAGGGCCAUCGCUCAACGGAUAAAAGCUACCCUGGGGAUAACAGG